rnacentral:rRNA from 1 species
CUUACCAUGCAGUCGAACGGCAGCACGGGAGCAAUCCUGGUGGCGAGUGGCGAACGGGUGAGUAAUACAUCGGAACGUGUCCUGUAGUGGGGGAUAGCCCGGCGAAAGCCGGAUUAAUACCGCAUACGCUCUACGGAGGAAAGGGGGGGAUCUUAGGACCUCUCGCUACAGGGGCGGCCGAUGGCAGAUUAGCUAGUUGGUGGGGUAAAGGCCUACCAAGGCGACGAUCUGUAGCUGGUCUGAGAGGACGACCAGCCACACUGGGACUGAGACACGGCCCAGACUCCUACGGGAGGCAGCAGUGGGGAAUUUUGGACAAUGGGCGCAAGCCUGAUCCAGCAAUGCCGCGUGUGUGAAGAAGGCCUUCGGGUUGUAAAGCACUUUUGUCCGGAAAGAAAACUUCCUGGUUAAUACCCGGGGAGGAUGACGGUACCGGAAGAAUAAGCACCGGCUAACUACGUGCCAGCAGCCGCGGUAAUACGUAGGGUGCAAGCGUUAAUCGGAAUUACUGGGCGUAAAGCGUGCGCAGGCGGUCCGCUAAGACAGAUGUGAAAUCCCCGGGCUUAACCUGGGAACUGCAUUUGUGACUGGCGGGCUAGAGUAUGGCAGAGGGGGGUAGAAUUCCACGUGUAGCAGUGAAAUGCGUAGAGAUGUGGAGGAAUACCGAUGGCGAAGGCAGCCCCCUGGGCCAAUACUGACGCUCAUGCACGAAAGCGUGGGGAGCAAACAGGAUUAGAUACCCUGGUAGUCCACGCCCUAAACGAUGUCAACUAGUUGUCGGGUCUUCAUUGACUUGGUAACGAAGCUAACGCGUGAAGUUGACCGCCUGGGGAGUACGGUCGCAAGAUUAAAACUCAAAGGAAUUGACGGGGACCCGCACAAGCGGUGGAUGAUGUGGAUUAAUUCGAUGCAACGCGAAAAACCUUACCUACCCUUGACAUGUAUGGAACCUGGCUGAGAGGUCGGGGUGCCCGAAAGGGAGCCAUAACACAGGUG